CUUUUUGAAUCCUCCAUUACCACAUGAGCAAACAGGUGUGAGGCUGCUUGCCAGAAGAUGGAAACUAUGGAAUGAAUGUCUGCUGGCAGACGGUCGUGGCGGUUAAACAUGAGCAAAAUGCCUGUCACCUACACAGAUUACUGAAUGACAGGUGUAGUAGCAGAAGCACAAAAUAGCAGCAUCAGGAAUCUUGGGCUGUAAUUUUGCGUAUCCUGUCUUGGAAGAAGUCCCAUUAUACUCGGUGGGACCUGUUUCCAAGGAAACAUGCAUAGGGCCAUGCCGUUUGUCUUCUAAGGUAAGGAUGCUUGAGGUAUUCAAUCUUUUAAAUCCCUACGUGAAAAUGAUCUGAUCCGCACCUUUCAGAUUAAUGAG